rnacentral:RNase_P_RNA from 2 species
ACAGUCCAAAGGCCGCGUUGCUCGUCACAUACAGAGAUCACCGCAUCUCUUCCCUUGCGAGCGGGCUAAGGUCUGAGCAUUAUACAUCCUCCUCGAUAGAUCCUUGCUGGAUCGGACGAUAACAAGUCCAACGACGUAUCAGAAACGCAUCCUGUUCUCUUUGCUCUUUGAGCGCCUUGUGAUCUCCUAGGAGUGAAGGCAUGAGAGAGCUUGGAUCUGGAAAACGUCGUGAGGGUCGGGUGGGUUCGAACUCUUGACAAACUGAGCUCGUCAGGCGGACUAUCGCGUUCAAACUCAUGUGUACCAUGGCUAAGCUGAUGUGUUAGUGAUUGCGACACGCGUUAUGGCGCCAGCUCCGGGCGAAUCACCAAGGGUAGACGGAUCCUAACCUUCACUUCGGUUGAAGUAGACAGCUUACUUCCCAACUGCGCUCUUGAUCCAACUCUGCACUUUGUGUGUAGGUCCAGAAGGGUCAAACAUAAGCAGGUACUACACCUGGUGUUCGUGGCGACGCAGGGCGACCCUUGGCAAUGUCGAGGCUCUCUUAUGUGACGCUGCCACCUGUGAUUCGCUGAUACGUACGAGGUCGUAGCCUGGCGACGUGGUUGUCCAUCUGUUGCCCCAUCCUUGAGUGCACUUCGCGGCUCGUGUGAUGAUGCUUCGAAAGAGGCAAGCACGAAACUCGAUUCAGACUACUCUUGGACUGU